rnacentral:tRNA from 1 species
UGUGGGGGUGCCGGAGCGGUCAAACGGGCAAGAUUUAAGCUCUUGUGGCUUUUGCCUUCGGGGGUUCGAAUCCUCCCUCCCACAU